AUACGUAGGUGACAAGCGUUAUCCGGAUUUACUGGGCGUAAAGGGCGUGUAGGCGGUCUUGCAAGUCAGAAGUGAAAUUCCUGAGCUCAACUCGGGCGCUGCUUCUGAAACUGCAGGACUUGAGUGCUGGAGGGGAUAGCGGAAUUCCUAGUGGAGCGGUAAAAUGCGCAGAUAUUAGGAAGAACACCGGUGGCGAAGGCGACUAUCUGGACAUUAACUGAAGCUGAGGCGCGAAAGCGUGGGGAGCAAACAGGAUUAGAUACCCUGGUAGUCCACGCUGUAAACGAUGAAUACUAGGUGUAGGGGGUAUCGACUCCCUCUGUGCCGCAGUUAACACAAUAAGUAUUCCGCCUGGGGAGUACGGCCGCAAGGUUGAAACUCAAAUGAAUUGACGGGG
rnacentral:rRNA from 1 species